rnacentral:lncRNA from 1 species
CUGAUUAAUUGUAUCCACCUGCAUUUAUUAAACAAGAGAUGGCUUAAACCAUCUAAUUUCCUAUGGAUAUUUGCGGAAAAACAACAAGAUGGAGGGGAAUACCUGUGGCAAGACAAAAUGAAGUCAAUGUUCUAAUUGGUUCUCUUGAUUCCCACAGCAAACCAACUCCAUUUUGUAGUUGGCCCUUACUCAUCAUGACUCCAAGGGAGAUCUUCUAUUCACUACCCUUUAAGACUUCACAGGUGACAUUGUUAUGUCUCCUAAAACUAGACUUCCAAGUGGGAUUAAUGGCUGUCCCACACUGAAGCAGAUGGGUCCUCCAUCUUUCUAUAUGGAUAGUAACCUCUUUUCAGAUCUCCCUAGAUUAAUAACAACAAAAAUGGUGCAAUCUCUGGAUUUUCUUUUAUUUGUAAUCACAUGUAAGAUACAUUAUCCAGUUCUGAGUAUUUGGGGGGGAAUCUGAUCACAAGGUAAGUUGCUUAAAGGAAUUAUGGCUUUACCUGGGUAGGAGGUGUGGGGUAAGUCUGCCUCAUCUUCCUCUAAAUGAGUAGGAAGCAGGGAAGAGGGAAUAGUAAGCAUAACCUGGGUAAUGAGUGCUACAUGUCUCCUGUACAUCUCACUAAAGGCCUGGAGGAAGGCAAAUGGGGUGCUAGAGUGGUGUGACAGGCUUGACCCUGCCAGUGACACUGCCUUUAAAAUGCUGAAGGAUGUAUGACAAAGCUCUUAUCUUCUCACUUUCCCUUUUUAGAAACCUCCAAGUGUCCGCAUUUGUGAAAUCUGGGAUAGUUUCUCCCAUCUCCCUAUCAAGGCUAUAUGUACUUUUAAUGACUAAGUGCUACUGAAUCCAACAUUCUUCUCUUAUUUUCCAUUCCCAAUGCUAGCACUGAAAAGCUGAGCUUUUAUUUCAUAUCUGGAUUAUUGGUAGCUGUCUAAGUGUUUUCCUGUUUGCCAUCUCUCUCAUCUAAGCCAAACUGCACUUGUCUACAAGAUUAAUCUUGUUAAAGCAUAGCUUUCAUCUUUUUAAAUACCUCUUCAAAAGCAUUUAGGGGAGAG